CCGCCGCCCCGGCCCCCGCCCCGGUAGCUCUUCCUCUACACGUUCUCCUGCUGCUCCUGUCUGACACCACGCACUUCUUGCCCGCUCCCUCUUCCACCCCACGGCCAGGCAGCGCCGAGCGCUUUCCCGAGGCACCGGGACGGACACUGGGGCGGGAUCUCCCGCCGUCCCCCUCAGCCCCGCUCCCGGCACGGCUGCUGCCCGCCCCCGGGAGCCGGCCAGGACUCCAGCCAAAGCGGUGGAUAUAGGAAUCUGGGAUAACCGGUAAAUAUGGCAACGCACGUAACUGUUGUUAUGCUCUAAAGAUUUCAGUAUGAGACAAGCAACUAGACAGCUCUUUCUGAGACAUAUGCAAGUUUGUUUUUAUAAAAUCGAUGUAAUUCUUCCAGCAUUUAAAGUAGUUCUUUGAAGUGAGCUCCCUGAACACAAGAUUCGUUUGUGAAGAGCUGGCAGGUGUCUCAUUACACACACACGCACACAGAUAUCAGGAGCUGCUUCCUUUCCCCCAGCAUACCUGAUCUCUCUGCUCCAUGCAAGACCCUCCUUCAGCUUUCUCUGGCAAACUUCAGGAUGAUGCUGUCUGUGGAAACUGUUAAAAACAAAAACAUAUGCGCCUUUGUGGUGAUGUCGUUUGGAUAUUUUGUUUUGAAUGCUCUUUAAGGCCUGUUUUAACACAGGCCUCUGCCCAUGGGCACACAAUAAAAUACAAUGCAAUAUGAAGACUGAUGUUCUCCAUCUAACCUUGUCACUGUUCAGUUACCAGUUUGUUGUGAUUCUCUUAAAUAUACUAUUUCAGAAUUAUGAUUUCACAGCCUCUGCCAGAUACAAAAUAACAGAUUCUGUGUGGCAUUUGGAAAGGAGACAGCUCCUCACACCAAAACCGCAGUGUUGCUGUUGUUCUCAUGGUGAUGAUACUUAGUGCUGUGUUUGCCUUUUGGCACAAACGUCUGGAGAAGGUAGUUGUUUUCUGAAUCUGCAUCCACAAGCAGUAUCACCUAAAUUGUGCUGUCCUGAGAAGAAUGGACUCGUGGGAACACAGGAAACUUUGUCACAACAAGAGUUUGUUGCAUUGGGUGACACAAACUUAGAGCUUUCAAGAAUGUAUUUUAAUGAUUUUAAUAACAAGGAAAAGACAUGCACAAUAAGUAAUAACAUAAAAGGCCCUUUGGCCAUAUUUUAUAAUGCUCCACACACUUUGCUUACUUUACCUGAUGGAGUUUGAGUUUCCCCAAAAAAUGCUUUAAGAGAAAGGGAAUAAUUUAUUAUUUUUCCCAAGACUGAGACCUGCUGGUAUCUGUGAUACAAUAAUGUGUUUAAAAGCUCCAUACCAAUAUUUUGGUUUCCUGCAUAAAAAAGUCUCCAUCAUCACAGAAGAGAUACUUAUUAAGAUCGUGAUUUGAAAAACACAAACAAUGAAGGCCUCAAAAGGAUUACUUUUUUUUUUAACUGACAUCCUGAAAAUGUAUGAAUGUGUUGAAAACAGCUUUAGCCACUUGCAAGAACCUGUGGAAAAAUAAAACAAGUUUCCUUGAGUCUGAGGCUUACAGAAGGCUUCUUCAUCUUGGAGACAGUGUUCCUCUGAGUGAUGGCAUCAGAAAGAUGGGGAGGCCCAGCAAGGAAACAUUGAACAUAUAAGAUAUGCAAGAUUUAUUUUGUUAACACUGUGCACAUAUCUUGGAGAGUAAAGGAGCCACUAUAUCCUUGUUGUAAUAUCUCAUCCUAAUCGCAGAGGCCGUGCUUUAGAUGUCUUUGUGUAGCAAAUGGAGAAAGAAAACUGCUUUGACCUCACCCAUCCCAAUACUGGAAAAUAUCCUGGUUCACUUCCAAAAUAAAGUUCAACCAAGGGCCACCCAAGUGUAAUACCCUGUUCAAUUACAAAAUAAUCCUUAGGCUGGAACCCACAGAAUAAUGCAUAUUGCCAUCUCCCACCAUGGCUAAAGGAACUCAAGAUACUUGGUAAAGCUCAAUACUGAGCAAAAAUACAUAAGGAAAUAAAUAAAUAAAUAAAUAAAAAUCAAACUCUAAAACAAAAAAUUAGACAAUUCCUCUCCCCUGUUUUUGGCUAUGGAACACGUUAGUCUGGAAUUAAAGCAAUAACAUGUUUCAGAAUUCAAUGUCCAAACCAUCAGAUAACUGGAACUUCUGGAUAUCUUCCCCUGUAAAAUAGCAUGCAAGUUAAAUCUGAAAUGCCUGCAUUUGAUAUAGACCACGUUUUAAAUGCAAACAUGUAUAAAAAUGCUAUGAUGUACAAAACACUAGACAGCUAUCCUUUUGCUAUGCAUCAAUUCCAGAAAACAACUGGAAAUCCCUUGGAAAGUUUGAUGUAAUUACAUCUGACUGUAAAUCUUUGACUGUUUUAAUAUACUCAGGUGACCUAAAUAACAUUACACAGACAAAAAAUUAAUUUAAAGUAAUUAAGAAAGAGUAUUUGUCUCAAGAUCAGUUUCUCUUAGAAAUUACUGCUCUGAAAAGUCCUGUAUGCUUUGUUCUACAGUCAUAAUCUUUGUAUUUCCACACUGUAAAUACUUCAUGGUAAAUUGCAAUGGAAACUCGGCUUGGCUUAAGUUCUCCUGGCUCUGUGGUACUGCUUCUUGGUUAAGGAAAUGGAUUUCAUUCUCAGUUUUUGUCAUUCUAUGCUUUAAUUUACAGAUGAUUUAUAUGUGUCCUCUGCUAGUUUAAUGGUGACUUUUCUUCAGCCUGAAUUUCUGUCAUGCUUGAACAACUAAUUUACAGACACAAGGGAUAUGUUGACAAUUACCCUUUAAAAUGUCUUAACCAAACACUCUUUCUAGAGGUGUAAAUGAAGAUAAUGGAAAAUUCUGUCACCAGUUCAAAUGAGGUUUCCUUGAACUGAGUUGCUCCUUUCCUCUGGUGUUGUGCCAAGCAAGUUGAGCAUGGCCAGAAGCUGCCCUUCCUAGAUUGGCUGGCAUUGACAUGUAUUAGCUGGCUUCAUGUGCUUUAGAUAGGAGGUGAGAGCUCAUUAAAGCAUUGGAUUUACAAUGCAGUAGUGAUACAGUAAUGCAGAUCAGCCAUGCUGUUCACGUGCAAUAGUUGCCUAUUCCUUGCUAUUUUCUCAGGGCUUCUGGAAACAAGAGCAGGUAGGAGUUAGUAAUAUCCUGGAUGAAUUGUGGCCACUUGCACUGCUGUGCUCGAAAAGUGCCAUGUGGUGUAUUAUGGCCCAAAUAAAUCUGCCACUCUGUUUGUGGAUUGUCCAUGCAGAAAUACGUGUGGGACCUGCUUUUUGAAAGUUAAAUUCUGAUGCCUCAAAAUAACACCCUGUGGCAUGGGUUAUUUGUGAAAAUUGCUUGUAGAGUGUGUUCCUGAAGUGAGAGUUUGGAUUCAAUCUUUUAAAGUCACUCUUAAUUCAAAAAAGUCAUAAAAAAACAUAGAGCUGCUUUGUGGAAUUAGAUAGCUACAACAAUAUGAGUUUCCAUCAAAACUGGGCAAUCACUGCUCUCAAGGAAGGUGUGUAAAAAAGUACAGGGAGCAAGGUGAAGCUGGGAAAUUAUGACAAGGGGAGAUGAAGAAGGCAGGACAGAGGCACUAAGAGUUUGAUCCUGAGAAACAACAGAAAAAAAAUCUGAAAGCCAGAAGAGAUCUGGGAUUAUGAUAAAAUGAACCAUCUCAAAUUAUUUGAUUCUUUGUAUGCAAGGAAAUAGAAUUCUAUGCUUUUCUUAAUAAAUAAAAGCAUGCACUUGUAAUCUCGAUUUCUUCCUUGAACAAAACAUUCUGUACACCAGCAAAUUUUCUUUAAACUCUGAAAUCAAAAAAGGUAUGAGUUGCAUUAGCAGUCUUGAGGAGACUGCAUUCAACAGCAGUGCUGGACUGACAAGCAGAGAUAACAUCUUAGCUAACCUCCAGAUUCAGUCAGCCAUAAGCACACUGUGAACUUUUUUUUCUAACUACCAAGUUGAUGCUAUUUUUAAAAAAACCCACAUACGGAUUAUUUUCAAAUGAAGACAUUUAAGUGUAGCAUUUCAUUAAAGAAAAAAGUGACAACAUAUACUUUAGCUUUCUAUUUCAUCUUAAAUCACAUAACUAGAUUAUUGCAAUAUUCUUUAAAUUCAGAAGUCCCUUUCUCAAAUGGCAGCGAAAAUAGCUUUUCUCGUGACUGUUUAACUUCUAAGAAAGCUACUUUUUUUUGCUCUUUUAUGUCAAUCCUUCCCAUGCACUGUCAUCAUUUUACCAGGGUAAUAGUCUAUUUUCUUUCCUUCUCUUCUUUCUUCAGUAUCUUCUGUAAUUUUCUUCACUAAGGGAAAAGUUCUUGAUUCUGCUGAUCAGGGCACAACUGCUUGAGCAGGGUAAGUUUUGGGAGACAAUUGUAAACUAAGACUAAAGAAAUGAUGGACAAAUCCCACAUACUUAAAUUUCUAUUUAAAGAGUGAGUUGGUAUUGAAAUUGGGCUUUUACGUGCAGAGCAGUAGACAAAUUCUUUGUCUGUAUUUACAGAUAUUUGCAUUUGAGUAAGGCUGUGUAAAAAAAGGGUAAUAUGAAAAAAAACUCCAAAAAUAGUUUGAAGGCUAGAGAACAAACCUUUUUGGCUGAAGAGUUCAAUCAUAGUAACUUAACAAAAGCGACAUCAUUACAGAAUAAGCACAGUUAUGCAGGUAUUCAAACCAGUCUGUUAUCAUACAUGGUGAUCAUUAGAUCACUAGAUCAUUAGAUCUCUUCUGGUGUGGAAAACAUGACCUUACAGUAAAAUAGCUGUGCUUAAAGAGUGUGGGCCACCUUGUCUGUUCAUUGUCAUGGAGUUCAAUAUGGUAAGGGUCCCUGUGCAGCCUGCCCUACACUGUCCAUGGAUGGAUAGUCAUGAAAAUAAAGAACUGGAAACAAUCCUGAGAAAAAAACACUUGUGGCUGCUUUCUUGCCUGAAGCUUUGGGUUUCUGAAGGGGCAUAAUAACCACUUCAGGAAGGUUAACUGGUGUUUAGGGAAAACUGUAGGAUGUCUAACCUGGAACCCCAGUCUUGUCAUCAGUUUAGAGCCAAGCUUUUGAGAGUUGUUCAGAAGGAAAGCAAACUGCCACUUGGAAAGGGAGCUCAAGCCAGUCAAGGGAGCUGUGUAGCACCUUAGACUUCACCAUACUGACCUUAUCCUCUUGGAAGACAAUGGUUUAAAUAAUGAAUAAUAAAAAUGUGCCUCUGCCAAAAA